GACGAACGAUGGCGGCGUGAUUAACACAUGCAAGUCGAAAAGUGGCGGACGGGUGAGUCAUGCUUGGGAAUCUGGCUUAUGGAGGGGGAUAACGUCGGGAAACUGUCGAUAAUAACGCGUAACAUAGGAUGAGCCCAAGGGGGAUUAGGUAGUUGGUGGGGUAAUGGCCUACCAAGCCGACGAUCUCUAGCUGUUCUGAGAGGAUGACCAGCCCCACCUGGACUGGUACAUGGCCCGGACUCCGACGGGAGGCAGCAGUGGGGACUCUUGCGCAGUGGGGGCAACCUGACGCAGCCAUGCCGCGUUAAUGAAGAAGGCCUUCGGGUUGUAAAGUUCUUUCGGUGACGAGGCGUUAAUCACAGAAGAAGCACCGGCUAACUCCGUGCCAGCAGCCGCGGUAAUUC
rnacentral:rRNA from 1 species